CCUACGGGAGGCAGCAGUGGGGAAUAUUGGACAAUGGGCGAAAGCCUGAUCCAGCCAUGCCGCGUGUGUGAAGAAGGCCUUCGGGUUGUAAAGCACUUUCAGUGGGGAAGAAAGCCUUGGGGCUAAUACCCUCGAGGAAGGACAUCACCCACAGAAGAAGCACCGGCUAACUCCGUGCCAGCAGCCGCGGUAAUACGGAGGGUGCGAGCGUUAAUCGGAAUUACUGGGCGUAAAGCGCGCGUAGGCGGUCUGAUAAGCCGGUUGUGAAAGCCCCGGGCUCAACCUGGGAACGGCAUCCGGAACUGUCAGGCUAGAGUGCAGGAGAGGAAGGUAGAAUUCCCGGUGUAGCGGUGAAAUGCGUAGAGAUCGGGAGGAAUACCAGUGGCGAAGGCGGCCUUCUGGACUGACACUGACGCUGAGGUGCGAAAGCGUGGGUAGCAAACAGGAUUAGAUACCCGAUAGU
rnacentral:rRNA from 1 species